UACAGAGGUCUCAAGCGUUGUUCGGAUUCACUGGGCGUAAAGGGUGCGUAGGCGGCGCGGUAAGUCGGGUGUGAAAUCUCGGAGCUUAACUCCGAAACUGCAUUCGAUACUGCCGUGCUUGAGGACUGGAGAGGAGACUGGAAUUUACGGUGUAGCGGUGAAAUGCGUAGAUAUCGGAAGGAAGACCAGUGGCGAAGGCGGGUCUCUGGACAGUUCCUGACGCUGAGGCACGAAGGUCAGGGGAGCAAACGGG
rnacentral:rRNA from 1 species